rnacentral:pre_miRNA from 1 species
UUAGGUUUUCUUCAUUUUCUUCUAAAAUUUUUCUGGAAUUCUUGCUAUUGAAAGUUGAUGGAGAUGAUAUGAAGAUGAAAAAGAAGCAAAG